rnacentral:rRNA from 1 species
GUGAACGCUGGCGGUAGGCCUAACCCAUGCAAGUCGAACGGCAGCACAGUAAGAGCUUGCUCUUACGGGUGGCGAGUGGCGGACGGGUGAGGAAUACAUCGGAAUCUACUUUUUCGUGGGGGAUAACGUAGGGAAACUUACGCUAAUACCGCAUACGACCUACGGGUGAAAGCAGGGGAUCUUCGGACCUUGCGCGAUUGAAUGAGCCGAUGUCGGAUUAGCUAGUUGGCGGGGUAAAGGCCCACCAAGGCGACGACCCGUAGCUGGUCUGAGAGGAUGAUCAGCCACACUGGAACUGAGACACGGUCCAGACUCCUACGGGAGGCAGCAGUGGGGAAUAUUGGACAAUGGGCGCAAGCCUGAUCCAGCCAUACCGCGUGGGUGAAGAAGGCCUUCGGGUUGUAAAGCCCUUUUGUUGGGAAAGAAAAGCAGCAGGUUAAUACCCCGCUGUUCUGACGGUACCCAAAGAAUAAGCACCGGCUAACUUCGUG